UACGGGGGGGGCAAGCGUUGUUCGGAAUUACUGGGCGUAAAGGGUUCGUAGGCGGCCUGUUAAGUCGAACGUGAAAUCCCCGGGCUCAACCCGGGAACUGCGUCCGAUACUGGCAGGCUUGAAUUCGGGAGAGGGAUGCGGAAUUCCAGGUGUAGCGGUGAAAUGCGUAGAUAUCUGGAGGAACACCGGUGGCGAAGGCGGCAUCCUGGACCGGCAUUGACGCUGAGGCGCGAAAGCCAGGGGAGCAAACGGG
rnacentral:rRNA from 1 species